AAGUUGUAUGAAAGGAGAGAAGGUUAGCACUCCUCUUGAUAAGGAUGGAAGAGGUCCUAGUGGCCUUUACAGCACAUAUACUAACCAUAUACAAAGUAGUUAAAUAUCAGAU
rnacentral:ncRNA from 1 species